GCAUCAAUGGGGUAGUGGUAACCUGGGUCGUUGCCAUGCGUAGCAUCGUGCCAUUGAUAACUGAGCUUCGACCCGCCGGGGGUUCGAUUCCCUCUUGAUGCA